CAGGCUCUAGGGUGGGGGGGACAGACCCUGGGAAGGGGGGACAGUCCCCACAGUGGGGGGCCAGGCCCCACGGUGAGGGGGCCAUGCAUCAGUACAGGCCCCAGGUUUGGGGGGACAGGGCCCAGGGUGGGGGGACAGGCUCUGGAGUAGGGGGGGACAGGGCCCGCAGUGGGGGGGACCGGCCCCAGGGUGGGGGGACGCCCCCCAGUGCAGGCUGUGGGGUGAAGGGGGGACACCCCGAUGGCAGCAGUCCCCUCCUCAGCCCCCCAGGCCGGGCCCUGCACCUGCUCCAGGGUUUUUUUCCCCCAAAAGCGCCUUAUUCCGCCCCAAAAAAACGCGGAUCCGCCAGCACCUCACCGACCUCAGCAGCGCUUUUCGCGCCAAAACCCCAAUUUUCCCCAUUUUUUGGCUGCCGGCAAGUGGACGCAGACACGAGAGAAGAUCCCGGGGUGUUUUGGGAUGAGGGUGAUGCUUCCCAUCACCAAGACCAUCCUCUAGAAGAUGGUUCACCAUCAGCUUUUGGCUUGAAGCUGGAGAAUGGACAUUAUUCCCUAAAUCCCAGGAUAUUUUGGGAUGAAGGAGAUGCCUCCCACCCCUCUAAGAGAUGGUUCACCAACAGCUUUUGCCUUGAAGCUGGAGAAUGGACAUUAUUUCCCAAAUUUCAAGGUAUUUUGGGAUGAAAGAGAUGCCUCCCACCAGCAAGACCAUCCUCUAGGAGAUAGUUCACCAUCAGCUUUUGCCUUGAAGCUGGAGAAUGGACAUUAUUUCCCAAAUUUCAAGGUAUUUUGGGAUGAAGGAGAUGCCUCCCAUCCCCAAGACCACUCCACAGGAGCUGGUUGACCGACAGCUUUUGGCUUGAAGCUGGAGAAUGGACAUUAUUCCCUAAAUCCCAGGGGAUUUUGGAAUGAGGAUGAUGCUUCCCAUCAUCAAGACCACCACACAGGAGGUGGUUCACCAACAUCUUUUGGCUUGAAGCUGGAAAAUGGACAUUAUUCCCUAAAUCCCAGGACAUUUUGGGAUGAAGGAGAUGCCUCCCAUCCCCAAGACCACCCUCUAAGAGAUGGUUCACCAUCAGCUUUUGCCCUGAAGCUGGAAAAUGGACUUAUUUCCCAAAUUUCAAGGUAUGUUGGGAUGAAGGAGAUGUCUCCCAACACCAAGACCACCCCACAGUAGGUGUUUCACCACCAUCUUUUGGCUUGAAGCUGGAAAAUGGACAUUAUUCCCUAAAUCCCAGGACAUUUUGGGAUGAAGGAGAUGCCUCCCAUCCCCAAGACCACCCCACAGGAGGUGGUUCACUAACAGCUUUUGGCUUGAAGCUGGAAAACUGAUAUUUUGGGAUGAAGGAGAUGCCUUCCAACAUCAAGACCACCCCACAGGAGGUGGUUCACCAACAGCUUUUGGCUUGAAGCUGGAAAACUGAUAUUUUGGGCUGAAGGAGAUGCCUCCCAACAUCAAGACCACCCCAUAGCAGGCGGUUCACCGAGAGCUUUUGCCUUGAAGCUGGAAAAUGGACAUUAUUUCCCCAAUUUCAAGGUAUUUUGGGCUGAAGGAGAUGCCUCCCAUCCCCAAGACCACCCCUUUUCGUCGGCGGUUUUGUUCACUCACCCAGUUCGCAGCCACCCGAGCUCUCCUUGAGGCUGUCUUUCUUGGCCAUGGUGUCUCCGUUGCUCUCCCGGGGCG
ensembl:lncRNA